rnacentral:rRNA from 1 species
UGGGGAAUUUUGGACAAUGGGGGAAACCCCGAUCCAGCCAUCCCGCGUGUGCGAUGAAGGCCUUCGGGUUGUAAAGCACUUUUGGCAGGAAAGAAACGUCAUGGGUUAAUACCCCGUGAAACUGACGGUACCUGCAGAAUAAGCACCGGCUAACUACGUGCCAGCAGCCGCGGUAAUACGUAGGGUGCAAGCGUUAAUCGGAAUUACUGGGCGUAAAGCGUGCGCAGGCGGUUCGGAAAGAAAGAUGUGAAAUCCCAGAGCUCAACUUUGGAACUGCAUUUUUAACUGCCGGGCUAGAGUGUGUCAGAGGGAGGUGGAAUUCCGCGUGUAGCAGUGAAAUGCGUAGAUAUGCGGAGGAACACCGAUGGCGAAGGCAGCCUCCUGGGAUAACACUGACGCUCAUGCACGAAAGCGUGGGGAGCAAACAGG